UACGUAGGGAGCAAGCGUUGUUCGGAUUUACUGGGCGUAAAGAGCGCGCAGGCGGUCGUACAAGUCGCGUGUGAAAGCCCCCGGCUCAACUGGGGAGGGUCACGCGAUACUGUUCGACUCGAAGGCAGGAGAGGGAAGCGGAAUUCCCGGUGUAGUGGUGAAAUGCGUAGAUAUCGGGAGGAACACCAGUGGCGAAGGCGGCUUCCUGGCCUGUUCUUGACGCUGAGGCGCGAAAGCUAGGGGAGCAAACGGG
rnacentral:rRNA from 1 species